CCUACGGGAGGCAGCAGUGGGGGAUAUUGCACAAUGGGGGGAACCCUGAUGCAGCGACGCCGCGUGGGUGAAGAAGCGCCUCGGCGCGUAAAGCCCUGUCAGCAGGGAAGAAAAUGACGGUACCUGAAGAAGAAGCCCCGGCUAACUACGUGCCAGCAGCCGCGGUAAUACGUAGGGGGCAAGCAUUAUCCGGAUUUACUGGGUGGAAAGGGGGCGCAGACGGCGAUGCAAGCCAGGAGUGAAAGCCCGGGGCCCAACCCCGGGACUGCUCUUGGAACUGCGUGGCUGGAGUGCAGGAGGGGCAGGCGGAAUUCCUGGUGUAGCGGUGAAAUGCGUAGAUAUCAGGAGGAACACCGGUGGCGAAGGCGGCCUGCUGGACUGCAACUGACGUUGAGGCCCGAAAGCGUGGGGAGCAAACAGGAUUAGAUACCCCAGUAGUC
rnacentral:rRNA from 1 species